ensembl:lncRNA
UUUAAAUAAAUUUAAAGAGUUGUUAAUUAGCUUUUUGUACCGAAAAUAUUUUUGUUAAUUAUUUUUUUUGUAUCUUUUUUUUUUUUUACUUCUAAUGCCUUUGAAAAGUAAAAAAAAAAAAAAAAUGCUUUCUGUAAAAAGGCAAUGAAAAAACACUUUAUUACUGUAAGGUCAGUCCUUUCAGUAGGAGAUUACUCCACUGUAGAGAAAUAAAACACACAAAAUAAAUAAUAAAACCAGACAUUAACCAGAAAGUCAUUCUUUCUUGUCUACUGUAUAAAGCAUGUAGUGGAAAAGCUCUUAUGUGAAACUGGUUUUUUGUUCACAUUUUUUUGGCUGAAUGUUUUUCAUUGGCUGAACUUGUGUAUCACUUAUUGAAGUACUGAAUAUGGAAAAUUAAUUAAAUGAACCCGUUGAUCCUGGAAUACAUUUCAACUUCCAGUCAGUUACUUAUACAGUGUAGUCAUAAACCCCCCAGUGCCUGAUUAUUAUCCAUAAUACUCAUAAAAUUGUAUAAUGAUGUUAAUAUAAUGUAAUAUCCCUGAUAUCAUAUUGUUAUAUUGCCAGCGGUGCCCUUCAGUUAUUUAUGUGCUACAUAGGAUUUUAUUUAGUUUUUUGCCAGCUCUUUGCCGUCCUUCCCUCUCUCAGUUCCUGCUUGUCUUUCGCAGCUGCUAGAACUUAACUAAAGGCGCAGCCCCACAGGGCUACAUUACCCCUCUAAUGGAGCUCUAACCUGCCACUAAAAUGGGCACACACUGGCCGCGAUGCAUUUGUUCUUGUAUCCUCCCCUGUGGUUGAACCUGGCAGGCAGUCACUUCUUAUCCAGGCCAUGGUGAUGGAUCGCUAAUUCAUAGAUAAGCUAGCCCAAAGCAAGGUCUCUCUCUCUCUCUCUCUCUCUCUCCCUCUCCCCCCUUUCUUGCCGAGUUAUUUGAGGUCAGCGACAAUAAGACCUUUUUUUUUUUUCUAAAUAAAAAAAAGAUUGUUUCUGGAAAAAUAUUACACUAUAUUGUGUGUAAAUAAAAUAUGGAUUUGAAGAAUGUGGAGAGUUAUUGAUUCAGCUGGAUGUGUUUAUUGAGCCAUAGUACAUUAUUGAUAGUAUUCAGCACAUAAUAUUUGCUAUUAUCAGUACUCAGUCAAGGAUGCCAAUUCCUUCCGCAAGGCACCCAAUGCAAAAAAAACUCAAAAACUGAUGACCUGAAAUGGUCGUGUAUGAUACAUGUUUGACGAAUUAAUAUAACAAUUCACCAAGGCACAACAUAAUACAUUUAUACACUGAAAGUAGUUACUACUGACACACUAUUUUGUGUUAAUUCAAGACAUUUUAAUCAUAAACACAGCCCGCAUGCAAAAUAGACUUUUUUUUUUUUUUUUAAAUGAAUUUACUGAAUUCAUGCACUUAUACUAAUAUGAAUACCUUUAUGGUCAUUGUACAAGGACAAGAUUCAGCGUGUAGUUCCACAUCAAGCAAUGUUACGUUAAAUAAGAAAUGAAUUUAUAUCAGAUAGAACUACAAUGCUGUUAUGACAUAUUUAUAAAAUAUUCAUAUGAAGUUCAUUCCAGUUGGCGUUUUCGAUAGUUGGUGCCAGCGAGAAGAAGCAAAAGAACCCUUACCAUUACUAAACUCAGUAAUGGUAACGGUUUAACCGCCUCUCUCUAUCACAGACUGUGCGUGUGUGUGGUAUCCCACAGGAGGAGGUAUGCCACACUGGAUAGUACAUCAUCUAUACUGUAGUGUCUCCAUAAUGAACUUACAGUAUAUGAUGAUAUCCUGUCCAGAAGACAAUAUAAGACCUUGUGAACCUUAGUGUGAGAAAUUUCCGGAUUGUUCCUGUGAAGAAAACAGAAGAAAAUUGGCUCAGUAUAUUUCCCUUAUUAUAUCAAAUUGUUCUUUUUAUGGCACUUACAAGAAAAUCCUCUCUAAACAUUGAGAUCAUACAUACUUAUGGGCCAAUUCAUCAACAGUUUAAUUGGAUGCCAAAACUGACACGCAGUUGUUACCUUUUCCAACUUGCUUUGCUCACCUUAAGGUCACUUGUUUCGUGUCCCCUUGAAGUAGGUGUUAACACACAGCUUAAUUACACUCAUUUAACACCUUCCCUGUCAUCUUUCCUUCCUUUCUAUUUGUCUGCAGGCUCGGUGUCUCCGUUUUGUCCAGCGGUCCCCCAGAGUUCUGUCAAAUAACCCCCUUCCCUCAGCAUUUUAAUGACCUUUACUCAUUUGCAUAUGGUGAUGAUACAAGGGUUGUCUCACUCUUAUCUGGGUUCUCCUUUUCCGCCUUUCGACCAAUCAGACUCCUGUCCUCUAUCAACCACCGAACAGUAACUCCUGACUUUAGUGUGUCUGCACAUGUGGACGGACACGCCUUCUUAUCACGCCGGUUAAACCUGGAAUUGGACCAACAACAACAACAAAGUUAUAACCCAAUGAGUCAGUUUAUUAGAUAUGAUUGAUCUCCAAAGCUGAAUAUUUUAAUUGAAUACGCUGGGUCUAAGACAAGUGAACUGUCUAGCUUUUUAUGUAGUUCAUUGUUCUGAUUACAUAAAAGCUUGUGUUUCGUACAGUAGACUGUUUUUAAUGUUGCUGUACAGUUCUGCUGAGAGUUAGAAAUGUAUAGUUUCAGUCUGCUUAUUUGUCUUUUAAACUUAAAAGAAGGAUUAUUGG